rnacentral:rRNA from 1 species
ACUCAAAGGAAUAGACGGGGGCCCGCACAAGCAGCGGAGCGUGUGGUUUAAUUCGACGCAACGCGCAGCACCUCACCCAGGUUGGACAUGUGCCUGCAUGUCGCUGAAAAGCGGCAGCCUUCGAGGGUGGCACACAGAUGCUGCAUGGCUGUCGUCAGCUCGUGUCGUGAGAUGUUGGGUUCAGUCCCGCAACGAGCGCAACCCCUGCGGUCAGUUACUUGUGUCUGACCGGACUGCCCUUCGGGGAGGAAGGCGGGGAUGACGUCAAGUCCGCAUGGCUCUUACACCUGGGGCGACACACACGCUACAAUGGGACGGCCAGUGCGUUGCGACCGGGCAACCGGCAGCUAAUCGCGAACCCGUCCCGCAGUGCAGAUCGGGGGCUGCAACUCGCCCCCGUGAAGGCGGAGUUGCUAGUAACCGCGUAUCAGCUAUGGCGCGGUGAAUACGUACCCGGGCCUUGCACACACCGCCCGU